rnacentral:rRNA from 1 species
GGUUAAGUUAGAAAGGGCGCACGGUGGAUGCCUUGGCACUAGGAGCCGAUGAAGGACGGGACGAACACCGAUAUGCUUCGGGGAGCUGUAAGCAAGCUUUGAUCCGGAGAUUUCCGAAUGGGGAAACCCACCACUCGUAAUGGAGUGGUAUCCAUAUCUGAAUUCAUAGGAUAUGAGAAGGCAGACCCGGGGAACUGAAACAUCUAAGUACCCGGAGGAAGAGAAAGCAAAUGCGAUUCCCUGAGUAGCGGCGAGCGAAACGGGAUUAGCCCAAACCAAGAGGCUUGCCUCUUGGGGUUGUAGGACACUCUGUACGGAGUUACAAAGGAACGAGGUAGAUGAAGAGGUCUGGAAAGGCCCGCCAUAGGAGGUAACAGCCCUGUAGUCAAAACUUCGUUCUCUCC